CACGUAGGGCGCAAGCGUUGUCCGGAAUUAUUGGGCGUAAAGAGCUUGUAGGCGGUUUGUCGCGUCUGCUGUGAAAUUUCGGGGCUCAACCCCGAACUUGCAGUGGGUACGGGCAGACUAGAGUGUGGUAGGGGAGACUGGAAUUCCUGGUGUAGCGGUGAAAUGCGCAGAUAUCAGGAGGAGCACCGAUGGCGAAGGCAGGUCUCUGGGCCAUAACUGACGCUGAGAAGCGAAAGCAUGGGGAGCGAACAGG
rnacentral:rRNA from 1 species